AUUGAACGCUGGCGGCAUGCCUUACACAUGCAAGUCGAACGGCAGCACGGGAGCAAUCCUGGUGGCGAGUGGCGAACGGGUGAGUAAAGUAUCGGAACGUGCCCAGACGUGGGGGAUAACGUAGCGAAAGUUACGCUAAUGCCGCAUACGAACUAUGGAUGAAAGCGGGGGAUCGCCAGACCUCGCGCGAUUGGAGCGGCCGAUAUCAGAUUAGGUAGUUGGUGGGGUAAAGGCUCACCAAGACGACGAUCUGUAGCUGGUCUGAGAGGACGACCAGCCACACUGGGACUGAGACACGGCCCAGACUCCUACGGGAGGCAGCAGUGGGGAAUUUUGGACAAUGGGCGCAAGCCUGAUCCAGCCAUGCCGCGUGCAGGAUGAAGGCCUUCGGGUUGUAAACUGCUUUUGUACGGAACGAAAAGGUUUGACUUAAUACGUUGGACUCAUGACGGUACCGUAAGAAUAAGCACCGGCUAACUACGUGCCAGCCGCCGCCGUAA
rnacentral:rRNA from 1 species